UACGUAGGGUGCGAGCGUUGUCCGGAAUUAUUGGGCGUAAAGAGCUUGUAGGCGGUUUGUCGCGUCUGCUGUGAAAUCUCAAGGCUCAACCUUGAGCUUGCGGUGGGUACGGGCAGACUAGAGUGUGGUAGGGGAGACUGGAAUUCCUGGUGUAGCGGUGAAAUGCGCAGAUAUCAGGAGGAACACCGGUGGCGAAGGCGGGUCUCUGGGCCGUAACUGACGCUGAGGAGCGAAAGCGUGGGGAGCGAACAGG
rnacentral:rRNA from 1 species